UCCGAUAUGGUGUAGUGGCCAACAUGAUGCCCUCUCAAGAUCUUGAGAGGUUAGGCUCUUGAGAGGUUAGGCAUAGCCCCGGAGUUCGAUUCUCGGUUUCGGAA
rnacentral:tRNA from 1 species